GUGGGGAAUAUUGCGCAAUGGGGGCAACCCUGACGCAGCAACGCCGCGUGUGUGAUGAAGGCCUUCGGGUCGUAAAGCACUGUGAGGUGGAACGAGCCGCCGGGGGCUAAUACCUUCCGGCCCGACGGUACCACCAGAGGAAGCACCGGCUAACCCUGUGCCAGCAGCCGCGGUAAUACAGGGGGUGCAAGCGUUGUUCGGAAUUAUUGGGCGUAAAGCGCGUGUAGGCGGACCGUUAAGUCUGGUGUGAAAUCCCUUGGCUCAACUGAGGACGUGCAUUGGAUACUGACGGUCUUGAGUCCUGGAGAGGGUAGCGGAAUUCCCAGUGUAGAGGUGAAAUUCGUAGAUAUUGGGAGGAACACCGGUGGCGAAGGCGGCUACCUGGACAGUGACUGACGCUGAGACGCGAAAGCAUGGGUAGCAAACAGGAUUAGAAACCCUGGUAGUCC
rnacentral:rRNA from 1 species